UUUCACUUUGAUAUGGCUUUGGCUUUUUAGUUGUUGGGGAAGCUUUGAGUUUUAGCAUGUCAUAGUAAAUUUUGCAUUUAUUUAUAAUAUGUUUCUUUUGCCUAUUCGGAUGAAGGAAGGUCCAAAAUGGAGAAAGGCAAGGGACAGAUGAAAGUCAUGAAACAGACAUAGCACAGAAUGUUGUCUCUCACAGGGGACAGAGAUUGUUAAAAAGUGUGGUUGCUGUUGCAGGGUUCUAAUUUGGAUUCUGCAAUGAUGUAAAAGAUGAUAGCAUGGUAAACUUCUACUACACCAAGCAAAAUUCAAGGAUUGAACAUCACUAGGUAUCUCGGAGGCUUGCUUCACAAUCUACAAAACUUGAAGCAUAUGUAAGUAAUUGUGUAUAUAUUUCAAGUUGUUCUGUUUCACUGUAAACAUAUGUGACUUACUUGUUUCCAUAUUCUUGUUUAUUUAGGGAUGUGAUUUCUAACAACAUAGUUGGUGAGAUACCAUAUAGUUUGCCACCCAAUGCCACACAUAUGUAAGCCUAUUGUUCUGAUGAUUUUUUCCUUCAUCAGUGAAUUCUAUUUGUUUAUGUGACCCUGUGUCUUCAGCAGUGAGUUUUUCUGAUGAAUCUUCUUUAUUGCAGAAACAUGGCUUGCAAUUAUUUGAGCCAAAAUAUCCCUCAUUCUUUACCAACCAUGAAGAAACUGAGACUUCUGCUUGGUCCCUUGGAAAAUCAACUCAAACAGAGCAAAGUAGCAACACAAGGAUAUACAACUCAUAGCCCUACAAUAAUGACAAGGCCUAAACAGUGUGCAUUAUGGCAAGUUGUUGCAGAUGCUCUACUCUCCCUCGCGUCUUUCUGGAUGCAGCUAGAUCCGAUUCUAAUUCCAACAAAACUUUGUUAAUUCAUGCUUUUAACUGAUGUAGCUUGCUUUAAUUUCUUGAGAGAGUAUGUUCUCAACAACAAUUAGUAUUGUUUUAGACAAAUUAGUAAAGUGACAUGGAUUUUAGUAUUGUUUUGUUAUUCAAGGCUGGAAUAUUUGAGUAAUUCUGUUAGAAUAUGUGAAUGUUGUUCU